GAUGAACGCUGGCGGCGUGCCUAAUACAUGCAAGUCGAGCGAACAGACGCCGUUCUUGCUCCUCUGACGUUAGCGGCGGGCGGGUGAGGAACAUGUGCUUAACCUACCUUUAAGACUAGUUUAACUUCGUGAAACCAGUGCUAAUACCGGAUAAUAUAUUCAACCGCAUGGUUCAAUAGUGUAAGCCGUUUUUGCUGUCCCUGAUAGAUAGAUGCUCGCCGUAUUGGCUGGUUCGUAAGGUAACGGUUUACCAAGGCAACGAUGCGUAGCCGACCUGAGAGGGUGGUCGGCCACACUGGAACUGAGACACGGUCCAGACUCCUACGGGAGGCAGCAGUAGGGAAUCGUCCGCAAAGGGCGAAAGCCUGACGGAGCAACGCCGCGUGAGUGAUGAAGGUCUUCGGAUCGUAAAACUCUGUUAUUAGGGAAGAACAAAUGUGUAAGUAACUAUGCACGUCUUGACGGUACCUAAUCAGAAAGCCACGGCUAACUACGUG
rnacentral:rRNA from 1 species